GAGCUGGGAGCCGCCGCUGCUACCGGAGGCGGAGGGAACCGGGUCUUUUUCCAGAGCCCUCGUGGCGGCUCCUCCUGGGAGGAUUCGGUCGCCCCAUCAGCAGUGGUGGUGCAAGUCCAGCAGCAGCAGCGGCGCCAUCAGCAGGGCAAAGUGAGCUAAGGCCCAGGAUCUGACAAUGUCAACACUCCCACCACCAUGCAGAAAGGAGGCAACACUAGGAAAGGAUCCACUCACGUGAGAAUCUGAUUCACAGUGAAUGUUUUCCAGAACCAGCUCUCGGGGAAGAAGCUCCGGAGUUGAAUAUCUACAUCAAACACAUCGUCUUCCUCCGCUCCGCCGCCAGCUACAUGGAGAGAGGCAAUCCCAGAUUAAGAGGGAUAUUUCUCCCUUUCCCUAGUUCAAUUGCUAACCUUCCCCAAUCCAUUAUUUGCUCAUGGCACAGGGCUUCCUUGUUGUAGGGGAAGGCAGCCAUGCUUCUGUGCAGUUGUUACAUUUUUAUUACACACACACACACCCUGCAAGGAACUUGGGACAGUCUACAUCAGUGAACUUCACGAUUUUUCAAGUGGGGGCCGCUUUGGCAAAAAGCUUUCAGUGUGAGAGCCAUGUGCUGGGGGUUCUCCUUUAAAAGAAACUGAGCCCUGUUGAGCCCCAGGGCCAUCCUGGGAGGCAAGCAUGGAGUGCUGGGAAGAAUUCUGUGGGGAAAGGGCAGAGAAGGACUAGAUCCCCAGCAAACAGUGUGGGCCUUUCAAAAUAGUGCUGGGGCUUGAGAAGGCUCCAUUCCUUUAAAGCAGCACUGCUGGCACUGGGCAAAGCUAGGCACUCCGUGGUGAAAAUGGUGGCCUCCGCACGGUGCCAGAGGAGCUGUAUGGUGCCUUCGGCUUUGGCCUCACUUGCUCCAAGGCCUUGCAGUUAUUACCGGCUGACAUCCAGAGUCCAGACUAACAAAGCGUUUGUGCCAAGAUGCUGGGCUAGCCAGUCGCACUAAGUCUGGAGCCUGCAUUUCUCAGACUAGUGUUGCACUCGUUGCAAACAUCUUUGAGUUUGUGCAACAAGACUUGUGGUGCACUCCCUGUGGGGCAACCUCUUUGUCUGCUAAUGUUUCAGAGAACUCUUCCACCAGAGCACAACUUCAGGACUGUGUGCAGUUACCGCAGUUUUCUGACUCAUGUGCAACUUGGUCACACAAGCGCUUCAUUCGUCUGGAUGUCAGCCAUAUUAAGACGAAUAUACUGCUUUCCAACAAAUGCAGUGAAGAGCACUGGUAUACACAGAGGACCCUGCCCAUCACGUUAUCCUCACAACAGCCUUAUAAGGUAGAAUACUGCACCAUUGACAAAAAUACUGUGAAGGUUUAUUGUGGGGGCAGCCAAGCAUUCUGGAAACAAAGAAAGAAGGAAGAGCCAGGGAAGGAGGUUCUGUAGAAAUACCUUGCCCUGUGUAAGGCGAUU